AUGAUCAGGAAGUUUUGGUGGGGGGAGGAAGAGGGACACAGAAAGGCACAUUGGAUAUCUUGGGAUAGGUUGAUAAAACCGAAAAGAGCAGGAGGUAUCGGCUUCAGAGAUAUGCACUUGUUCAACCAAGCACUUUUGGCAAAACAAGGCUGGCGGCUGAUUCAAAACCCAGAAAGUUUGUGUGCGAGAGUCCUUAAAUCCAAAUACUAUCCUCAUGGUGAUCUCUUGGACACAGUGUUCGCAACUGAUGCUUCCCCUGUUUGGAGAGCGAUAGAGUUUGGGCUAGAGCUCUUGAAAAAUGGUCUAAUAUGGAGGGUGGGAGAUGGAAAGAACAUCCAAAUCCAACGUGACCACUGGAUUCCGAGACGGGAGGGCCUCAAGACGGCCGCCUUCAUGAGGAGGUCUCGGAUUCGUUGGGUCAGCCAGCUAAUGCAUCCCGACAAGAAGGAGUGGAACGAGGAACUAAUAAGACAAGUUUUCUACCCCUUGAUGCAGACGAGAUUUGCAAGAUCCGCAUCCCAGCGUCGGCCGUGGGGGACCGGGUUGCGUGGCACCAUGAGAAGAAUGGAGAAUUCUCGGUGA
rnacentral:rRNA from 1 species